CGAGGGACGUUGAUUCGGAUGCUUCAGUACGCGCGAGGGCUGGGCUGGGCGACCUGGGUUGAUGCUUCGAAAAGGUAUGAGCCAUUCUCCUCCUCCCUACAACCUUCAUCUUCUCCGAAACUUUUACUGAAUGUGACAUCGCAGCGCCAGAUCCAUCCUAAAGAGUUAUAGCUUCAUACGAAAAAACAGGUUAGUUCCUCUUUAUUUUUUAGAACGGGCACUUACAAUACCAUUUUUUCACUGUGAAGAAAAGGGACAAAAAGGGAUUCUCACCUGAACAGCAGAUUACUAGAUCAGAUACGGACUGGUGAUGUUGACUAAAUUAAUUACUAUAAAGUACGCCAUCGUCGUUGCCUGGAAGCUAGAAAGAAAUCAGUUUAUACUAACUCAAAACGAAUAAUAUAUAUAAUGCACAUUUAACUAACUAAAAAAAGAUAGAAAGACUUCAGCUCACCAACAUAUACGGUAUCUGCAUCUGUGAAUAAUAUAUAUGAUGCACAUUUAACUAACUCAAAAAAGAGAGAAAGACUUCAGCUCACCAUCGUAUACGGUAUCUGCAUCUGUGUUCUACAUAUGUAGGCUGAGAAGUAAACUAAAAGUUUCUACAAUAUAGAACAAUUAUUAGGAACAUAGAAAAUAUGGUAUGAGGAAAUAUGUGAAACAUUGUGCACAAGAAACGUUUAUUCUGGUGAUGGGUGUAAUUGGAUCACCACCUCUAUUGUCAUGCAUACAUUAGUUGUUAAUAUUGAUGUUUCUUAUCAAUAAAUCUAUUCAAUGUCAAAACAUGAUUUAACCACAACUCCUAAAAUUAUGAAGGUACUCCUCAUGCCCGACAUGUAUGCAGGGACAAUAUCAUAUAUGUAGCUAUUAUUUUUUUAUUUGCAUGGCUGGCAAAUGGUUUGUAGCUAUACCAAAUUUGCAUGAAAAAGAAAAAAACUAAAAUUUAUCAUACUCAUAACUGUCAUACUUAUUAUGUAUGAUUAGAUUUGUCAUUAAACAAUUUACAAAGCAUGUCUGAUCAUACAUGUUAAGAUCAAAGUUCAAAAUCUGUUAUAUAUGGUAUAAUACCUCUGAGAGGAUAACGACUAUUACAACAUCUUUAUAUUCUUAACAUGUAUGAAUUCGAUAAUUGACAUGGUACUAUGUCUUUUAUAAAAUUUGUCACUCCCAGGGCUGUUAUAAUACAAUAUUGUUAACAUGUAAAUUUAAAAUAUAAUUUUUCAAAGCUGUUACAAGUUACAUAACAUCUUUGACAUUAUAACAACUUAAAAUCUUAACAUCAAAGUCAGUAGCUGACUAGCUGGUUUAUUGCCCGAGGUCCUACUUCAUAAUCAUAUGAAAUCAACUUCUAUCAUGCUAUGCUACUUGGGGCCUAUUUGGUUUGUUGAGAUUCUUAGAAUCUAGCACAAAAAAUCAUAAUAUGCCAAACAUGUCUCAUUUUGUAUCUAGAUUCUAGACAAAAAUCUGAGUAUCCAACUACACCUUGAUAAUAUAAGAUAAUGGGCACAUUAUCCAAAGCUAAAAUCCCAUGCCUACCAAACGACACCUUGGAAAGAUAUCGUGCUUAAGUUUUGUAAUGCAGAUUCAAUAUAACAAGCCAAAAUUGUAUAGUAUACCAAGUUAACAACUCACAAAGACCUUAAAUUGUGAUAAACCGGUUCAAAUUGAUGUCUUGUGCAUGUGUUCAAUAUAUGUGGUCUUUUCUCAAUAUAUAUGUUUAUGUACAUUAUUAUUCACUUACUAAUUUGUUAUCCUAACUGAUUCUGAUUGCCUGUUAUCCUAACCGAUUCUACAUGCCUGCUCAUCUCGCUGGACGAAUGCAUCUUCAAUUUAGCAAAGAUUAUGACACUUAAUGACAACAGGUAUGGUCAAAUAACAUAAGCGCCCUGCACGCCCCUCCCCCUUUAUUGUUAACCUAUUGAUCCUCAUAUUACCUUUUUUCUUGCUAUAUUCUUAUAAAUACUUUCUUCUGUUAUCUAAAGCAACACUUUGAACCAUGUAAACACCUCGAUUCAACAAUAUAAAUAUAUCAGCUAAAUAUUCACUUUAUUUACACAUGACUACAUGAUUGCAACAAUUAUUACGAAUCAUUAACUGAAAAUGUGUUGGAAGCAUGCUGACUGCUUGACAAUUCUCAGAGCCGACUCUAUUGUUUCUUCAUGCAUUUCAGAAAAAGCAGGAGGCUCUGAAGCAGCUGAGGAAGAGCCUAACCUUCACCCUUCAAAGAUAUAUAGAAAUGAGUAGAUGGCCUCCAAUCACUUCCUCAUUUUUAAUGUAUUUCAAAUGUUCUUGGUACUACAGCAAGCUCAUGGUACUUUAAUCCUCAAUUCCUGAAGCACAGGUCUACUACAGCAGGUACAACAAGAUAGGAUAGAAGACAAUACCUUGCAACACUGGCUGUUCCUUUCUCUUUUUUUUGUUUUUUCCCGUUCACAAAUAUGCUUCUCUGUAGUCGUAAUUUUACAGUUAGCUACAAUAAUCUAAUAACAUAGCAAUUCCAUAAUUUGAGCCGAAGUUGUGGUUGAAGCCUGUACUUAUCAUUAUUUUCCAUAUAUACACAACUAAUACAGAAUAUGACACCACAAAAAGUAUUCUUCAAGAGAACUAAAUAGAUAUUUGCACUAACACUUGCUCUUGUCUCAUCCAAAAUUUGACAUUAUCUGAAGGUUACAAAACAGUGAGCUACAACUGAUACAACCCACUGCAACCGAAGAAGAAAUUCAGAAUUCCUAGCCACCAAACUACGAAGACAAAAAUGUCGAGGAGUUGCUUUAUAUAGAUCCAGACAUGUUUCCUGUAAUCACUGUCACCUGCUCCUAUAUUCCACUUCUUUUGUACAUCAACAAUGUGAUAUACUGCAUCUUUUUUUUCUCUUUUGUGAUGCAGCCACAAGGUUAUAGAUGCACUGUCACUAUUCACGCAUUAUACAAGAUAUAUAGCAGAUGGUGGUUCCCAUUUUGCACCACUCAUCAAGAGCAACAACACUUUUGGAGAGAUGUAUCUGUAUAAAUAUAAACCAGCUGUUGGACUAUUUCUGAUCUGUAUAUAUUGAAGCAGCGCCUAGAAACAUAUUGUUACCAGCUCUUGGUGCACACUACUUUAAUACUACUUAAUAUGUAUUAUAGUCUCAGUUCACUCUCCAGCUGACAUAAAUGCUACAAUUCCAUUGACAGCUGCUGCCAAAAAAGCUUGCAUUUGGCCUGAUACUUAUGCACUCAUGUCCUGAAUAACGAUUAUUCUACAUGUGCAAGUGUUCAUGACAUAGCAUCAAGUUUUACAUGCUUAUAAAACAAGAUUUUACACCAUAAUUUCACACGCGCCCAUGGGCGCGCUCCAUACACUAGUGACAUAUACCCGUAGUGAUUUGGAAGAGAGAGAGAGAGAGGUCAGUCAUCCAUGCAGAUUUGGAUAGGAUUUGAGAUGACAGGGUUUUGCAGCACAUCUACG
rnacentral:lncRNA from 1 species